ACGGGGUGCAGCAGGCGCGAAACCUUUGCAAUGUGCGAAAGCACGACAAGGUUAAUCCGAGUGUCUCCUGCUAAAGGAGUCUUUUGUCAGUUGUAGAAUCACUGAUGAAUAAGGGGUGGGCAAGCUCUGGUGUCAGCCGCCGCGGUAAAACCAGCACCUCGAGUGGUCAGGAGGUUUAUUGGGCCUAAAGCAUCCGUAGCCGGUUGCAUAAGUUUUCGGUUAAAUCCAUACGCUUAACGUAUGGGCUGCCGGGAAUACUGCAUAACUAGGAAGUGGGAGAGGUAGACGGUACUCGGUAGGAAGGGGUAAAAUCCUUUGAUCUAUUGAUGACCACCUGUGGCGAAGGCGGUCUACCAGAACACGUUCGACGGUGAGGGAUGAAAGCUGGGGGAGCAAACCGGAUUAGAUACCCGGGUAGUCCCAGCUGUAAACGAUGCAGACUCGGUGAUGCAUUGGCUUGUGGCCAAUGCAGUGCCGCAGGGAAGCCGUUAAGUCUGCCGCCUGGGAAGUACGUACGCAAGUAUGAAACUUAAAGGAAUUGGCGGGGGAGCAC
rnacentral:rRNA from 2 species